rnacentral:lncRNA from 1 species
CUGGAAAGGGAAAAAGCAUCAGUGCAAAAGUAGAUUUCAGGAUUUGGAGCACGGAGGCAAGUGCCCUCUCCUGGCAUCCCCGCAUGGGGCCAUGGUGAGGAGGCUCUGCAGUCUUCCAGGACGACUGGACCAUGGAUAGGAAAUACCCAAGACAUGGAUUCUCUGGGGACAUGGGCGAUUCCAAAAGCACCGAGGAGUGUGCCCCUAGAGAAGCAGUCCAUUGGGUCCAUAGUAAAAUCUCAUAGCAUAACCAACAGUGGAGACCAGAGACUAAAAAUCUGUAACAUCCUUGGAGUCCAUGGACCUCGAAGCCAAACACAACAGCCCCACGAGCAUCUGCCAUCCAGGCAUGGAGAGCUAGGGGUGAGCUUCUUAGAGUAAAGGAGGCUUCUUCCCUGUUCAGAUGUGUGAACGGUUGGGUUUACAGAUAAUGGAGGUGUCUGUGUAUGUUGUCAUGAAAAUAUAAGGCAAGUGGCACCAAAUGUGAUUUAGCGGUCCCAGAAAUUCAGUGCUGCGUGCUUUCUACAUGACAUUAAUUUUAAUUAUAUGUACACAGGAGAAAAUUUAAAAUUGAAAUGUCUUAUCAUUGCUAGAAAAACAGAAGUUUUUUCCCUACGAGUUAGAAAUCUUGAUCUCUGCGUUUUUCUAUGGAUCGAUUCUCAAAGUUUGUGCAAAUACAGUCGGUGUUUCUCUCUAAGUGUCUUUGGUUAUGAACUAAGGAUGUAACCAACUCCUGCUUAUUAGGUAAAGGGAUGAGGCAAGAGAGAUCCAGCAACAGGGUAUGGUUAUUUUUCAGUCUUUGGCAACAUUUUUCUUCGUGAUGUCAAAAGUAGUGAACUCCCUGACUAGGGUUUCAGACAUGGGCUGUUCUAAUCCACCAAACACCAAACGGCUGGGGAAGAAGAGAUUUGGACAUGGAUAACCAGUGUCACCUACAACAUGGAAUGGAGGGUCGUCAAAAUGGUCUGAGUCACUUUAAUAUGUGGCUGGAGAGAUGCGAGAACAACAGAAAGAGCCCUCAGGAGGCAUCCCCACCCAAG